AGCACUUGCAAACUUUAUUCUAAAUCUCCCUAUAAACACUGUCAUACAGGCAUGCGUGUAUGAUCGUGUGGUGCUACUUUUACGUUUCACUGCACCCUUCAGUUCCGGAGCUGGUGCCGACACGCCGUGACACGCACUGUAAAUCUCCAGCGUAGUGUCGGCACGGCAUUGCCACCGGUUGGGAACAGCGACAGAGAAGAUAUUAUGCCUAUAGAAUGCAGUAUUUCCGACUCUUGACAGAAAUCAGCGCUGAAUUCUUCCACGGAACGCAGCCGCUGUCCACAAUGGGCCGAUUGCUGUCUGUGUUGGCGUGUGUAACGCCACUAAUCUAAUGCUUCCAUUAGAGCAGCUUAAAAAAAAGAAAACUCUACAAGAUAGGACAACUUGACUGAAGCGGUAUCAAACAGCGAGUUCAACGAAAGAAAGCAGAAACUGCUAAGCGAAAAAUAAAACAAUUCAUCGUCUCA